UGGAGGCGGUGCGUGACAACAGCGUCGCUUUUUGGCGUCCUGUUAGCGUCUUCAUUCCAGCUUGGCGUCGAAAUUACCAAAGUUAGAAUUUGGAGUCCUAACUAUUGGGGAAAGGAAGGGAAAUGGGAAUUGACACAGGGAAGGUGCCCGUAGGUGCACAAUUCAGUAAUGUCCUGCUGUGGCAAUUCAAGUAGAAAAAAGAAUGGGGUGUAAGGACAGACCACCCUAUUUUUGAGGCCCACAUACUUUACGCGUAAGUAUUUAAAAGUUGUAAAUCAAGCUAAAUAGUAAAGGAGAUACGUUCUAGCCUCCCAACUUAAACAUAUCUUUCUAACAGCCUGGAAGAUCAAGGCCGGAUUUAGAAUUCUAGGACUGGAAUUCCAGGCAAGGAGAGCUACCAAAACCCUCUUCCCGUUCCGUGGAGGGCAGACGCUUGGCCACCGCUGGGGCCACGCUCAGUUGGACGGACCUAAGGAAAUGCUUUUGCAAACCCUGAAAACAGUGUUGAAGGAGAACGGCCUGGUGCUGUGCUAAGGUGUUACUAUAGUGGUGAUCACUGGAUCUGUACACAAUACAGCCAUUCCAAGAUGUAUCUCCAAGAAAGGGGCAUCCAAGUCUACAUCAUCCAUGUGAGAGAUGAAGUCUCACGAUGUUACCCAGACUGGUCUC